CCUCCUGAAACACGUUUUGAAAGGUCUUGUGAUCUGAUUUCACUCAGAAGAAUACAAACUCGACCUCUAGCAACAAUAUAGGCACUCAGAUCGCGUGAGAAGAAGGGAUGAUCUGAAAGGCUAUCACAGUAAUAUGAACGUCCAAGCACAUCGUAAAGGCCAUUGUUGCAUCGCAGAUGCCGUAAAUAUCGCAACACGGCAUCAAUUGGGCCCGUCCUCACGGCGAGUCUUGAGAUAUAGUACUAUAAAGCAGCGGUGGCCAGCAACAGGACGAGGACUUGAUGUGGGGCAAGCUUUCAGAAGAUGUCG
rnacentral:lncRNA from 1 species